rnacentral:rRNA from 1 species
GAGACAGUUCGGUCCCUAUCUGUCGCGGGCGCAGGAAAUUUGAGAGGAGCUGUCCUUAGUACGAGAGGACCGGGAUGGACGUACCGCUGGUGUACCAGUUGUUCCGCCAGGAGCACGGCUGGGGAGACAGUUCGGUCCCUAUCUGUCGCGGGCGCAGGAAAUUUGAGAGGAGCUGUCCUUAGUACGAGAGGACCGGGAUGGACGUACCGCUGGUGUACCAGU